GGAAGAGGAGUGAUGUCUUUGAGGAGCAGCCAGAACGAUCCAGAAGCAGAGCUGCGCAAAGAGUUGGUCUGCAGCAGCUUCUAGAAAAGCAUAAGAAGAGUUUGAGGAGGAGAUGUAAACAUGUGACUGAAGGAAGUGAUGAACCGGGAGGAGGAAGCCUGCUCAACAGGAUCUACACUGAGCUCCACAUCACAGAGGGACUCAGUGAGGAGCUUCAGAGGGAACCUGAGCUGCAGCAGCUGGAGACAGCUUCCAGGAAGGAGAGCCUCCAUCACACUGCCAUCAGGUGUCAGGACAUCUUCCAACCCUCAGCCCAGGAGCUCAGACACAUCCGAGUGGUUCUGACCAGCGGCGUGGCCGGCAGUG